GAUGAACGCUGGCGGCGUGCUUAACACAUGCAAGUCGAACGGAAAGGCUCCUGCUUGCAGGGGUACUCGAGUGGCGAACGGGUGAGUAACACGUGGGUGAUCUGCCCUGCACUUCGGGAUAAGCCUGGGAAACUGGGUCUAAUACCGGAUAGGACCAUCGUUUAGUGUCGGUGGUGGAAAGUUUUUUCGGUGUGGGAUGAGCUCGCGGCCUAUCAGCUUGUUGGUGGGGUAAUGGCCUACCAAGGCGUCGACGGGUAGCCGGCCUGAGAGGGUGUACGGCCACAUUGGGACUGAGAUACGGCCCAGACUCCUACGGGAGGCAGCAGUGGGGAAUAUUGCACAAUGGGCGCAAGCCUGAUGCAGCGACGCCGCGUGGGGGAUGACGGCCUUCGGGUUGUAAACUCCUUUCGCCAGGGACGAAGCGAAAGUGACGGUACCUGGAUAAGAAGCACCGGCUAACCACGUG
rnacentral:rRNA from 1 species